rnacentral:misc_RNA from 1 species
GAUGAAGAACGCAGCGAAAUGCGAUAAGUAAUGUGAAUUGCAGAAUUCAGUGAAUCAUCGAAUCUUUGAACGCACAUUGCGCCCGCCAGUAUUCUGGCGGGCAUGCCUGUUCGAGCGUCAUUUCAACCAUCAAGCCCCCGGCUUGUGUUGGGGACCUGCGGCUGCCGCAGGCCCUGAAAACCAGUGGCGGGCUCGCUAGUCACUCCGAGCGCAGUAGCACAUCUCGCUCAGGGCGUGCGGCGGGCUCCUGCCGUGAAACCCCCCACUGUAACCCCAAAGGUUGACCUCGGAUCAGGUAGGAAUACCCGCUGAACUUAAGCAUAUCAAUAAGCGGAGGA